rnacentral:rRNA from 1 species
UACGUAGGGCCCGAGCGUUGUCCGGAAUUACUGGGCGUAAAGAGCUCGUAGGUGGUUUGUCGCGUUGUUCGUGAAAACUCACAGCUUAACUGUGGGCGUGCGGGCGAUACGGGCAGACUUGAGUACUGCAGGGGAGACUGGAAUUCCUGGUGUAGCGGUGGAAUGCGCAGAUAUCAGGAGGAACACCGGUGGCGAAGGCGGGUCUCUGGGCAGUAACUGACGCUGAGGAGCGAAAGCGUGGGGAGCGAACAGG